AUUGAACGCUGGCGGCAGGCCUAACACAUGCAAGUCGAACGAGUGGCGGACGGGUGAGUAAUGUCUGGGAAACUGCCCGAUGGAGGGGGAUAACUACUGGAAACGGUAGCUAAUACCGCAUACCAUCGGAUGUGCCCAGAUGGGAUUAGCUAGUAGGUGGGGUAACCGCUCACCUAGGCGACGAUCCCUAGCUGGGCUGAGAGGAUGACCAGCCACCCGUGGACUGAGACACGGGCCAGAAUCCUAAGGGAGGCAGCAGUGGGGAAUGUUGAACAAUGGGCGCAAGCCGGAUGCAGCCAUGCCGCGUGUAUGAAGAAGGCCUUCGGGUUGUAAAGUACUUUCGGCGAGGAGGCGUUACUCGCAGAAGAAGCACCGGCUAACUCCGUGCCAGCAGCCGCGGUAAUUC
rnacentral:rRNA from 1 species